rnacentral:rRNA from 1 species
UUCGCAAUGCCCGAAAGGGUGACGAAGCGACGCCGCGUGUGGGAAGAAGGCCUUCGGGUUGUAAACCACUGUUGGGAGUUAGGAAGUGUGGAGGUGUUAAUAGCGCUUUCACUUGACUAAAGCUCCAGAGGAAGCCACGGCUAACUCUGUGCCAGCAGCCGCGGUAAUACAGAGGCGGCAAGCGUUGUUCGGAAUUAUCGGGCGUAAAGAGCACGUAGGCGGCUCUGCAAGUCAGCUGUGAAAGCCUUCUGCUUAACGGAAGAACGGCAGUUGAAACUACAGGGCUUGAGUGCGGGAGGGGAGAGUGGGACUUCUGGUGGAGCGGUGAAAUGCGUAGAUAUCAGAAGGAACGCCGGCGGCGAAAGCGGCUCUCUGGUCCGUAACUGACGCUGAGUGUGCGAAAGCUAGGGGAGCAAACGGGAUUAGAUACCCCGGUAGUCCUAGCCGUAAACGAUGGGCACUAAGUAGAGGGGUU